UGCAGUUUCAGGACAGACUGGAUGACGUUGCAAUCUGAGACUCAAAGCAGGCAAGUGUUGCAGGGUAAGAGAUUUACUUUCUCAAAGCACCUUUCCCAGUAUCCCUGGAACAGAAAGACAGUAUGAACUGACGAUGACGUCGUUUGGAGAUACAAGUUGCCGGGCCGCCAGAACUCAAUUUCAGCUGAGCAGCGUCAAGCAUACGAGUGGGGCUUGGAACCUUGCUGAGACCCUGGGAGCCUGGCCAUGCUCAGAGUGGAAAGGAACCCCUUCUGGCUGCUGGCAGACCAUAAAGACUGUGAAGGGGUCUAGAGGAAACGGUCAAGGAGAACAUUGCUGAGAACCUCCAGGUUCACCCGGGCUCCAGUCAGAUCUCCAUGUGAUUCCAUGUGACAACAGAAUUGGGCGACGCUGCGAGUCCUGGACUGCCCAGAAACCUGGAUGUUCCAGCACGUGCUGGUGGGCAGGCUUCUCAGACCAUCGACCAUCACGAUUAUCGGAACACGAAUAACCUUCCCUCCGCAUGAACCC
rnacentral:lncRNA from 1 species